CCUACGGGGGGCAGCAGUUAGGAAUCAUCUGCAAUGCGCGAAAGCGUGACAGUUUGAGUCAGAGUGCUCCUCAUUGAGGAGCUUUUGCCAAAUGUAAAAAGUUUGGCGAAUAAGGACUGGGCAAGACGAGUGCCAGCCGCCGCGGUAAUACUCGCGGUCCAAGUCGCAGCCAUAAUUAUUGGGUCUAAAACAUCCGUAGCUUGUCGAGUAAGUUUCUUGUGAAAUCUCAUCUCUUAAAGGUGAGGCGAGCGGGAAAUACUGUUCGGCUAGAGACCGGAAGACGGAAGAAGUACGUUUAAAGUAACGGUAAAAUGUGUUGAUCUUAAACGGACUCACAAUAGCGAAGGCAUCUUUCGAGUACGGUUCUGACAGUCAGGGAUGAAGGCUAGGGGCGCAAAACAGAUUAGAUACCCGUGUAGUC
rnacentral:rRNA from 1 species